CUCCUCUAGAGCAUUGAUGUUUUGGGGCUGUUGCUGGGCAACACGGACUUUCAACUCCCUCCAAAGAUUUUCUAUGGGGUUGAGAUCUGGAGACUGGCUAGGCCACUCCAGGACCUUGAAAUGCUUCUUACGAAGCCACUCCUUCGUUGCCCGGGCGGUGUGUUUGGGAUCAUUGUCAUGCUGAAAGACCCAGCCACGUUUCAUCUUCAAUGCCCUUGCUGAUGGAAGGAAGUUUUCACUCAAAAUCUUACGAUACAUGGACCCAUUCAUUCUUUCCUUUACACAGAUCAGUCGUCCUGGUCCCUUUGCAGAAAAACAGCCCCAAAGCAUGAUGUUUCCACCCCCAUGCUUCACAGUAGGUAUGGUGUUCUUUGGAUGCAACUCAGCAUUCUUUGUCCUCCAAACACGACGAGUUGAGUUUUUACCAAAAAGUUUUAUUUUGGUUUCAUCUGACCAUAUGACAUUCUCCCAAUCUUCUUCUGGAUCAUCCAAAUGCUCUCUAGCAAAUUUCAGACGGGCCUGGACAUGUACUGGCUUAAGCAGGGGGACACGUCUGGCACUUCAGGAUUUGAGUCCCUGGUGGCGUAGUGUGUUACUGAUGGUAGGCUUUGUUACUUUGGUACCAGCUCUCUGCAGGUCAUUCACUAGGUCCCCCCGUGUGGUUCUGGGAUUUUUGCUCACCGUUCUUGUGAUCAUUUUGACCCCACGGGGUGAGAUCUUUUUUUUUUUUUUUUUUUGAGGAUGGAUCAGCUUAAUAUUGUGGAAAGAACGUUGCUUCAAAUGUAAUUGUCUGCAUCAUUUCCAAUCCCCCAUAUUUUUUUGGUAAAUAUAUAUAUCCAUACAUAAAUACAUACACAUACCUACGUAUAUAGACAAACAUACUUUUUUAAAGAAUAUACCUUUAUUAUUAUUCCCCGCAAACCCUACCGCCGAUCCCCCAAUUGAAGUAAACUAAUAAACACUUCUGCUUCUACCUUCAAUCCAUACAUCUUAUACACAUUCUACAGACACAGUCUACUUUACAAUAGUUCUCUCUUGUUUGUUCUUAGUCCUUCCUCUAUUUCUGAUAGAGGAAGGUAUUUCUGAUAUUUCUGUCCAUCCAGUUUGAUUUCUAUUUGUAACUAUGCUAUUUCACAAAAGUUCCGAACCUAUAUACAUUUUACAGAUCCAAUAUGCUUUACAUUGUUUAUCUUGUUAUUAGUCCCACCCUUCAGCUCCAUUCAACCCCUCCCAUCUAUCUCUCAACAU
ensembl:lncRNA